rnacentral:miRNA from 1 species
CAGGGAGGUUGAGGCUGCAGUGAGCUGUGAUCCCACCACUGCACUCCAGCCUGAGUGACAGAGCAAGAACCUGUCUCA